GACGUAGGGGGCCAGCGUUGUUCGGAAUUACUGGGUGUAAAGGGUUCGUAGGCGGUGCGGCAAGUCGGGAGUGAAAUCUCUGGGCUCAACCCAGAGGCUGCUUCCGAAACUGCUGUGCUUGAGUUUGGGAGAGGGACGCGGAAUUCCAGGUGUAGCGGUGAAAUGCGUAGAUAUCUGGAGGAACACCGGUGGCGAAGGCGGCGUCCUGGACCAACACUGACACUGAUGAGCGAAAGCCAGGGGAGCAAACGGG
rnacentral:rRNA from 1 species